UACAGAGGGUGCGAGCGUUAAUCGGAAUUACUGGGCGUAAAGCGUGCGCAGGCGGUUUUGUAAGUCUGUCGUGAAAGCCCCGGGCUCAACCUGGGAAUUGCGAUGGAGACUGCAAGGCUUGAAUCUGGCAGAGGGGGGUAGAAUUCCACGUGUAGCAGUGAAAUGCGUAGAGAUGUGGAGGAACACCGAUGGCGAAGGCAGCCCCCUGGGUCAAGAUUGACGCUCAUGCACGAAAGCGUGGGGAGCAAACAGGAUUAGA
rnacentral:rRNA from 1 species